AAACACUCUAAAUAUUUAUAAGUUAAACUGCACAAUAAUGUAAAAUUAUAUGUAUACUUACUCUUUGUCAUUCGGCAACUGCCUUGACAUAAUUUUGUUAAUAAACUAAACUAAACUUACAUAUAUUAAAUUAUAAAUUAUCAAUCGCUUUUUGUGUUUUAGGUGUCCAUAUUAUGGUUCUAUAAAAUGUGUAUUAGAUAAGGAAUAAAUAAAUUAACUGCAGUAUGAAGUCUAGCUCUUUGUUCGAUAGAGUUUCAAUUAAUAUGUUUAGUUUUUAUUGAAGAAUAUUCGUGAUAUUCAGUAAAGUUUCUUCGGUAUUUUGAAGUAUAAUUAACAUCACAUACUUAUGUAUGAAAUAAAAGAUGAAAGGAUAAAGCAUCUAGCUAUUAUUUUACAUUGGUGGUAAUUUCCUCAUAUGAAAAAUCUCAAGAAAAUUGACCUACACUGUACGAGAAACUUUAAACGAUUGAGUGCAUUUGAAGAUGGAAAACUAAAAUACCACUGCGACCACGAGGGCUAAAAUUGCCGGAAACAGUCAUUUUUAAAACCUGAAUUUUCUUGUGGGAAAAUUUGAACGUGGAAAUUUUUUUAAAUCAAGCUAACUGUGCCGCAGUAUGACCAUUAUUAUCAACGACAUCCGCAGAAGUUUUAUCAACCAAGAGCUUCCAAACACUCAGCGACCCAGCAAGAGCUGCUCGAUGGAGUGCAGUAUAUCCA